rnacentral:rRNA from 1 species
CAGUAGCCGCGGUAAUACGAGGGGGGCAAGCGUUGUUCGGAAUUAUUGGGCGUAAAGGGUGCGUAGGCGGUUUGGCAAGUUUGGUGUGAAAUCUUCGGGCUCAACUCGAAGUCUGCAUCGAAAACUGCCGGGCUUGAGUAUGGGAGAGGUGAGUGGAAUUUCCGGUGUAGCAGUGAAAUUCGUAGAUAUUCGGAAGAACACCAGUGGCGAAGGCGACUGACUGGACAAGUAUUGACGCUGAGGUGCGAAAGCGUGGGGAGCAAACAGGAUUAGAUACCCCAGUAGUCCCUGUCUCUUAUAC